GAUCAGAUCAUGUAGGACCCUCAGUAGUAGUAGAUGUCACAGGAGUAUCUUACAGAUGCACAAGGAGAUAGGAGGGGCAUGUGGAGUCCAGCUGCACUUCCUUUCUACAGAGCAGGAGAGAUUAGAGGAACCAUUUCUUCAGCAUGUGUCUCCUCUCUGAUCUGAAGCCCCCCCCUUCAGGACCAGAAGUCUCUGUGAAGGGUUGUCUACACGAGGAUGACCUGUGGCACGUUGUGUCGUGCCUGUCUGCACAUCUGUCUGUGCACCACAUGUGUGCCUCGUACCCAGAGAGGCCAGAAGAGGUGGCGGAUCUGGAACUGGACUUACAGAUGGCGUAAGCUCCAUGCAGAGCCUGCUCAGAAUGCAGGGACACACGUCCCCGAUCUCAGACUGGAUGAGCCCUUCUGCCUCCCGGGCCCUGCUUUUCAUCUGCCCAUACAUCUAGGAGUCUGCGUAAGAUCAUUCUCUGGACCGGACAGAAUGGACCGUGACUGCUGAACUCUCCCGCUGGCCCAGGCAGACCCUGGAGUUAGAAGGUCUGGGAUUCAUCCUGUUUGGUAGUCUCAUCUGAGGAAGGGGAUACUUACAGAGGAGUUGGUCAGUGCUUCCCAAGGAGGAGAAAAGGGGGCCUUGGGAGGGACACCCCCCCAGCGUAGUCGCAUUCAUUAGCUCCACGCUGCACACAGCCCUUCCUGUGAGGUGGGCAUGUGCAGGAAAGAAGGACGGCCACUCAGCAAGGCUCAGAUAGUCACCGAGGCCAGGCGUGGUGUCACAACCCUGUGAUCCUGGGUGUUGGAAGCUGAGACAAGAGGACUGAGAGUUUGAGGCUAGCCUGGGCUAUCUAGUGAUAGUCUGUCUCAAAAAAAAAAUCAAGGGUUGAGGGCGCUGGGGAGACAGCCCGGUAUGUAACAUGCUUGCAAGGAUAAGGACCUGGGUUUGAGCCCCAGAACUCACGUUAAUAAUGAAAGAAAAGGAGAAGAAGCUGGAGAGACAUCUUAGCAGUUAGGAACACCCAUGCUUGCUUUUCCAGAGGACGUGAGUUCGGUUCCCAGCACCCACACCAGGCAGCUAGCUAGGAGCUGCUGCCUGUGAUUCCAGCUCCGGGAGAUCGGACACCCUCUGGCACCUGCAAGCCUGUGGC